rnacentral:misc_RNA from 1 species
GUGAGUCAUCGAAUCUUUGAACGCACAUUGCGCCUUCUGGUAUUCCGGUAGGCAUGCCUGUCUGAGCGUCAGCAGAACAUCCUCAGCCUGAGUAUUUUUUCGUACUUAAUGCUGGUCUUGGGUAGUUGGAUGCCGGUGUGGUUAAUUCUUCCCCACCUGCGCCCUCCCUAAACUUGCUGUACGACCGCAAGCACCUUCAAGCCAGGUCAAUGGAGUGGUAUUGCAAUCUUUCCAAAAAGCCUGCUGGUAAACUGCUUUGCGGCGUUAAACAAUAGAGUCCUCCCUCCGCGGAGGCUUGAA